rnacentral:rRNA from 1 species
GGGUUGUGAGGUUAAGCGACUAAGCGUACACGGUGGAUGCCCUGGCAGUCAGAGGCGAUGAAGGACGUGCUAAUCUGCGAUAAGCGUCGGUAAGGUGAUAUGAACCGUUAUAACCGGCGAUUUCCGAAUGGGGAAACCCAGUGUGUUUCGACACACUAUCAUUAACUGAAUCCAUAGGUUAAUGAGGCGAACCGGGGGAACUGAAACAUCUAAGUACCCCGAGGAAAAGAAAUCAACCGAGAUUCCCCCAGUAGCGGCGAGCGAACGGGGAGCAGCCCAGAGCCUGAAUCAGUGUGUGUGUUAGUGGAAGCGUCUGGAAAGGCGCGCGAUACAGGGUGACAGCCCCGUACACAAAAAUACACAU